rnacentral:rRNA from 1 species
ACGUAGGGUGCGAGCGUUAAUCGGAAUUACUGGGCGUAAAGCGUGCGCAGGCGGUUGAUUAAGACAGGCGUGAAAUCCCCGGGCUUAACCCGGGAACUGCGUUUGAGACUGGGGAACUUGAGUACUGGAGAGGAGGGUGGAAUUCCAGGUGUAGAGGUGAAAUGCGUAGAGAUGUGGAGGAAUACCAGUGGCGAAGGCAGCCAUCUGGGCGGUAACUGACGCUGAGGCGCGAAAGCGUGGGGAGCAAACAG